rnacentral:rRNA from 1 species
AGAGUUUGAUCCUGGCUCAGGACGAACGCUGGCGGCGUGCUUAACACAUGCAAGUCGAGCGAUGAAACUACUUCGGUAGUGAAUUAGCGGCGAACGGGUGAGGAACACGUGAGGAAUCUGCCUUCUACGCUGGGAUAACUCCGGGAAACCGGGGCUAAUACCGGAUAUGAAACUUGGUGGCAUCACCGAGUUUGGAAAGUUUUUCGGUAGAAGAUGACCUCGCGGCCUAUCAGCUUGUUGGUGAGGUAAUGGCUCACCAAGGCGACGACGGGUAGCCGGCCUGAGAGGGCGACCGGCCACACUGGGACUGAGACACGGCCCAGACUCCUACGGGAGGCAGCAGUGGGGAAUAUUGGGCAAUGGAGGAAACUCUGACCCAGCGACGCCGCGUGCGGGAUGAAGGCCUUCGGGUUGUAAACCGCUUUCAGUAGGGAAGAAGCGAAAGUGACGGUACCUACAGAAGAAGCACCGGCUAACUAUGUGCCAGCAGCCGCGGUAAUACAUAGGGUGCAAGCGUUGUCCGGAAUUAUUGGGCGUAAAGAGCUCGUAGGUGGUUCGUUACGUCGGAUGUGAAAAUCUGGGGCUCAACCCCAGACCUGCAUCCGAUACGGUCGAGCUAGAGUUUGGUAGGGGAGACUGGAAUUCCUGGUGUAGCGGUGGAAUGCGCAGAUAUCAGGAGGAACACCAAUGGCGAAGGCAGGUCUCUGGGCCAAUACUGACACUGAGGAGCGAAAGCGUGGGGAGCGAACAGGAUUAGAUACCCUGGUAGUCCACGCCGUAAACGGUGGGCGCUAGUUGUGGGAACCUUCCACGGUUUCUGCGACGCAGCUAACGCAUUAAGCGCCCCGCCUGGGGAGUACGAUCGCAAGAUUAAAACUCAAGGAAUUGACGGGGCCCCGCACAAGCAGCGGAGCAUGCGGCUUAAUU